rnacentral:rRNA from 1 species
GACGAACGCUGGCGGCGUGCCUAAUACAUGCAAGUCGAACGAAGCUGUUUUAACUGGUGCUUGCACCGACUUAAACAACUGAGUGGCGAACGGGUGAGUAACACGUGGGUAACCUGCCCCAAAGCGGGGGAUAACAUUUGGAAACAGAUGCUAAUGCCGCAUAAUCACAGAAACCACAUGGUUUCUGUGUCAAAGAUGGUUUCGGCUAUCACUUUGGGAUGGCCCCGCGGCGUAUUAGCUAGUUGGUAAGGGAAUGGCUUACCAAGGCAAUGAUACGUAGCCUAACUGAGAGGUUGAGCUGGCACAUUGGGACUGAGACACGGCCCAAACUCCUACGGGAGGCAGCAGUAGGGAAUCUUCCACAAUGGACGAAAGGCUGAUGGAGCAACGCCGCGUGAGUGAAGAAGGUUUUCGGAUCGUAAAACUCUGUUGCCAGAGAAGAACGUGUGCGAGAGUAACUGUUCGUGCAGUGACGGUAUCUGGCCAGAAAGCCACGGCUAACUACGUGCCAGCCGCCGCGGUAA